rnacentral:tRNA from 1 species
GGAGAGAUGGCCGAGAGGCUGAAGGCGCAGGUUUGCUAAACCUGUGAAUGGGUAACUGUUCCGAGGGUUCGAAUCCCUCUCUCUCCG